rnacentral:rRNA from 1 species
UCGGGAAUUUUGGGCAAUGGGCGAAAGCCUGACCCAGCAACGCCGCGUGAAGGAUGAAGUAUUUCGGUAUGUAAACUUCGAAAGAAUGGGAAGAAUAAAUGACGGUACCAUUUAUAAGCUCCGGCUAACUACGUGCCAGCAGCCGCGGUAAUACGUAGGGAGCAAGCGUUGUUCGGAUUUACUGGGCGUAAAGGGCGCGUAGGCGGCGCGGUAAGUCACUUGUGAAAUCUCUGAGCUUAACUCAGAACGGCCAAGUGAUACUGCAGUGCUAGAGUGCAGAAGGGGCAAUCGGAAUUCUUGGUGUAGCGGUGAAAUGCGUAGAUAUCAAGAGGAACACCUGAGGUGAAGACGGGUUGCUGGGCUGACACUGACGCUGAGGCGCGAAAGCCAGGGGAGCAAACGGGAUUAGAUACCUCGUAGUCCCUGAGCGGGCUGGCAAGGCGCAU